CCUACGGGCGGCUGCAGUGAGGAAUAUUGGUCAAUGGGCGCGAGCCUGAACCAGCCAAGUCGCGUGAAGGAAGACGGUCCUAUGGAUUGUAAACCUCUUUUGUCGGGGAGCAAAAGACGCCACGCGUGGCGUUCCGAGAGUACCCGAAGAAAAAGCAUCGGCUAACUCCGUGCCAGCAGCCGCGGUAAUACGGGGGAUGCGAGCGUUAUCCGGAUUUAUUGGGUUAAAGGGGAGCGCAGACGGAAGGUUAAGUCAGCGGUAAAAUUGUGGGGCUAACCCUCGUAGAGCCGUUGAAACUGGUUGUCUUGAGUGCGGGAGAGGUAGGCGGAAUGCGUGGUGUAGCGGUGAAAUGCAUAGAUAUCACGAAGAACUCCGAUUGCGAAGGCAGCAUACCGGCGCGCAACUGACGUUGAUGCACGAAAGUGUGGGUAGCAAACAGGAUUAGAUACCCGAGUAGUC
rnacentral:rRNA from 1 species